UACGAAGGGGGCUAGCGUUGCUCGGAAUCACUGGGCGUAAAGGGUGCGCAGGCCGCGCGGGCAGUCAAAUGUGUAAUUCAGGGGCUCAACCCCUGCACUGCGCUUGAUACUUCCGCGCUCGAGCUUUGGAGAGGAGUCUGGAAUUCUCGGUGUAGCAGUGAAAUGCGUGGAUAUCGAGAAGAACACUUAGGGCGUAGGCAAGACUCUGGACAAAUGCUGACGCUCAUGCACGAAGGCUAGGGUAGCGAACGGG
rnacentral:rRNA from 1 species